GACGUAGGGCGCGAGCGUUGUCCGGAUUUAUUGGGCGUAAAGAGCUCGUAGGCGGCUUGUUGCGUCGACUGUGAAAACCCGCGGCUUAACUGCGGGCUUGCAGUUGAUACGGGCAGGCUAGAGUUCGGUAGGGGAGACUGGAAUUCCUGGUGUAGCGGUAAAAUGCGCAGAUAUCAGGAGGAACACCGGUGGCGAAGGCGGGUCUCUGGGCCGAUACUGACGCUGAGGAGCGAAAGCGUGGGGAGCGAACAGG
rnacentral:rRNA from 1 species